GUAUACCUACGGGAGGCAGCAGUGGGGAAUAUUGCACAGUGGGGGAAACCCUGAUGCAGCAACGCCGCGUGAGUGAAGAAGUAUUUCGGUAUGUAAAGCUCUAUCAGCAGGGAAGAGAAUGACGGUACCUGACUAAGAAGCCCCGGCUAACUACGUGCCAGCAGCCGCGGUAAUACGUAGGGGGCAAGCGUUAUCCGGAAUUACUGGGUGUAAAGGGAGCGUAGACGGCAAUGCAAGUCCGGAGUGGAAUGCGGCAGCUCAACUGCCGAACUGCUCUGGAAACUGUAUGGCUUGAGUGCAGGAGG
rnacentral:rRNA from 1 species